GAGGAUGGGAGGAUGGGGUAAUUGGGUGAUAGGCAUUAAGGAGGGCACCUGACGUGAUGAGCACUGGGUGUUAUAUGCAACUGAGGAAUCACUGAACUCUACUCCGAAACUAACAAUACACUAUAUGUUAAUUCAUUAAAUUUAAAUAAAAUAAAAUAAAAUAAAUUUUUUAAAGGGGGUAGUGAGACAGCCAGAUGCUUCUGGUGGGAAUUUCUGUAGACGUUGCUGCAAUCAGACCCACGGUGCCUAAAGAUACCUUUGGACACAGUUCUUGUCUAUGUGCAAAUUGUAGCUGCUAACACGGGGCAGAGAGACUGCGUGGGGAUCUGCAGGUUGGUUUCCACCUUCCUGGCAUUCCUAACCUGGGAGUCUGCGGUUCGGGGUGGAUGCUUUCUUUUGUCCUUAUUUGCCUGCCUCUCACCUGCUUUACCAGCCAGCUGGCAUUGCCCCCGCCUCGCCUGCCUGCUGUUGACUGGACCUGGGGAUGUGUUUGGCUUUUCACAAAUUGUCCUGGAUCAUCUUGAUAUAACCAUAGAAUUAUAACUGAGUGAAAAGUGGAGUGUUCAUCAAAUAGAAGCAGUGAUUUGUUAUAGAAUGACAGAUGAGAGCGUAAGUCUUAACAGCAUCACUUGAACAACCCACUUAAACUCUCGAAGUAUUUGUUUUCUCAUUAGUAUCAUGAGAAUAAAAUUAUUUGUGCAAAUGCCA
rnacentral:lncRNA from 12 species